GCAAGCUGCUCCCUGGGCCAGCUUGGGCCCUGUUGGGUUACCUGCUGCCAUAUAACAAAUCCCAAAGCUGAGCGGCUUAGGACAACCACCUUUUCUUUUUUUUUAAUUUUUCUUAUCUAUGAGUUGAGUGGCGUCUCCCAGUUGAACGUUCUGCUCCAUGUGAUGUCAUCUGGGGCUCCUCAGGGCUGGAAGCGCUUCCACAGGGCUCAUGCCUGUGCUGCCUGCUUCCGGGGGACACCUGGAAAGCUGGGCUCACCUGGCUCACUGGGUGAUCGGGCCUCUGUCACCAUCUCUGUGGAGUCUUGGGGUUUCUUCCCUAGGGUUGCCGGACUACUUCCCACCGCAGGGCUCCCGAAAGAAUAAGAUGGAAGAUGUCAGGGUUCCUUAAGGCAUUGGCCUGGAACAGGCACAGAAUAACUUCUUCCCAUCCUGAACUGAGUCACGGCUCCACCGGGAUUUGGUGAGGGAAGGGCCUACCCAGGAGGGUGGACGCUGGGAGGCCUGGGCCUUCGAGGCCAUCUCGGGAGCCUGGCUCCCAUGCAUGCUGGGAUCCCAGGGUUGGUGCUUGGCUCAGGAGAUGGAUGGAACCAGCUCUCUCUUGUACUGGAUUCUCUGGAGGCCAAGUGGACCAGAAACUUCUUGGGGGGGGAGGGCGAGGCUGUAAUUCUCUCUUUCUCUCUACAUAUAUAUACAUAAAACUUCCACAGUUCGUCUGCUCUCUAAAACAAUUGUCUAGGGAUCCCUGGGUGGCGCAGCGGUUUGGUGCCUGCCUUUGGCCCAGGGCGCGAUCCUAGAGACCUGGGAUCGAAUCCCGUGUCGGGCUUCCAGUGCAUGGAGCCUGCUUCUCCCUCUGCCUGUGUCUCUGCCUCUCUCUCUCUGUGUGUGUGACUAUCAUAAAAAAAAAAAAAAAAUUAAAAAAAUAAAAUAAAACAAUUGUCUAAAGCCUAUAUAACAAGGCAUCUGAAAAAAAAUUAUUAAUGGCAUGAUUAUGUAUUCAUUUCAAAUAUUAAACAAACCAUUGGUACCACAGAUUGAGCACUUACAUACAUCAAGCAUUGCCCUAGCAGAUCUUACUUAAUUUCCCCAACAACCACAUGGAAAUGAUACUCUUGGGGUCCUUGUUUUCCAGAAGUAUUAGUUAAGUGGGCUAAACUGUAACAGACUUUCCAAUGUUAUUACUUCAAACACAGUAGAGGUGGGUUUCUCACUCCCUUAACCAAGAGGAGAGGCCUGGCUGGCAGGCAGCCCUUGUCAUUUACAGACCCAGGCUCCACCCAUCUUGUGGCUCCACUGUCCUUUCUGGGGCGAGAAGGAACGAACCACUGGCUUCUCUGUGGCGAAUGGACCACAGUACGUGCAUAUGUGGAGCAGGGAUGGGAUUUGAUGGACAUUCCCCAACUGCCUUACUCCACUCUCCCUGUCUCGACAGACUCCCAACCAUCUGGCUUCCAGUUAGGUUUGGCCAGUGGGAGACAGCGGCAGGCGAUCAGAGUUUCCUCCGCUCUCUCUGCUGGGCUAUAGUGUGGCAGGAGCUGACUUUUUCUACCAAAGGCCAUGACUUACAUCAUGUGGCUUUUUCCAGACUCCGUAACUCUCAUCCAUUUCUAGGGGUGGUUGGUGACAGGAUUCUUCGCUAUCUCUUGUUGGUAGCCACCCACCCCUAACUAAUAAAAAGCCCCUUUGAUAAUCUCUGCAAUCACAUCCUGUAAAUGUGCCAUCUCUCUCCUGCUGUGCCCUUGGCUGAUACACGGACAGGAUGGAAGCAAGGAAGACAUUCAAGAGGUUAUCGCAAUAAUCCAGGACAUGCUUCAGAAAUCCUAUCAAGAAAACCUGACGGCCCUUUAAGCCCAACAAUUUGAUGACAGACUGGGCUAAGGAGACGACGGGAGCGUAGGCCGGUCUCCUGGUGACGUUUGCGAAGGACCGACGCUGUGCUCCAGAUGGAAGGGCCACUGCACCUCUGGUAGACCGUUUACAACCAACGAUCGGCCAUUCGUGCUUUCGACCUGAGGACAUACGUUCGGCAUUUGAAUCACGGAGUCACUAAGCUAAGUCACAGCCCCCCUCCGCGGUCACUGGCGUGGCCUCUCUUGAUGGGAUAACUAGCUUAAUGGGACCACGCUGAGGGUCAAAUGUGAGCUGCCAGACGGUAGGAGGCCGCCUUCCCAGACCUCAGCUUUUAUCAUGGAGCAUCUGCUGACGCCUGGGCCGCGGCACGUGGGGACAGGCCGGCCUGGGGGUGCCUUUGGGCGAGACCCGGCGCCGAGGCCUUGCUCUUCCCCUGCGCUGCUCCACGUCACCUCGCCUGCCUCGCCGCCGGGACGUCAAGCAGCCUGGGCAGCCGCCAGAGGCCUUGGGUUCAUGUGCAGAGUCGCCCAAUCUGAUGUGGGUCGUUAGCAAACACGCACACGAGGCUCCCGGAGCCCAAGUAAGAGCAAAGCUGACGGCCUCUGGCCUCUUCUGCUAGUCCCGAGGGCUCUUCGGGGAGACGCUUCCCAAAUGUUGCGGCCAGUUAGGCCUGAGCUACGUGGCCCUGAGUGUCGCCUUGGCACCUCCCCCCGCGCCCUGCUUGCGCAGCAACACGCGGCCCGUGGCCCUCACCGUGGCCCUCGCCGUCUGCGGCCUCAACUGCCGCUCACCCUGCUCUCGCGCAGACGUGUCCCCACGGAGCAAAGAACUCAAAGAUUCAUGACCGCCCCUCCCCCGACGAGGCUGGAUGUCUGACAGCAACCUGCCCUUCACCCGGAAUCCCCUGGAAAACCAGCGACUUCACUCAGGAGGCGGGGACCUUCCGGGCAGCCUUUCUGGCCCCACGGGGGGAGCCGGGAGGCUUGGGGUUGCCCGCCUCUGCCCGAACUCCGGUGCCACCACUGUCCCGCGCAGGGAAGGGCGCCGCAGCCCAGCGCACGCUCCACCGUGGGCCCGGGGCCCUGAGCUAUUACGGGAGAUGAGCCCACAUGCGGAGUCAGGUGGGGUCACCGCGUGGGACCCGGCUAGCUUCUCUCGUGUAGACGGGCGGCAGGUGACGUGCUGGCCAAGAAGACGAAGGCUGCUUCUCGGCCCGGGGCCGGUGCACAUGCCGUGAGCACGGCUCCCGCGUCCUCCGUGAGGCCUUAGGAGCCCGACGCCUCCGAAAGCAUCUUUGGGUUUGCGUGGAACUGCUGCGGGGGCCCCGUCGUCGGCUUCGGGGGGCCACCUGGGGCUGCACCUGAUCGCAGCUGCGCGGGAGCGGAAAACACGCCAGAGGUUGGAGAUGCGCAAGGUGGGAAGGCGGGAUCUGCCGCGGCGGUUUAUACUGACCCCACACUGAGUGACUCAACUGUGCGCUGGGGUUAAAUCGGUCAUUAAAGCUAAUUUUCACUAUGUUU